GCUUGGCAUUGUUCUAAAUAACUAACAACACCAUCAUAAAAAAGCACACAAUGUGUUUAAAGAGCGUUUCAGUAGCUAAAUGUAUAAGUCAAAGCCUGCAGUGCAUCCCUCUAAACGCUCUAUAAAGCGGACACCUGUUUGCUGUCCAACUAAACUAAAACAAUGUUAAUUACAUAAACAUUGAAUAUCUUUAGUAAGGGAGGCCUUUGUGUGCAUAACAAAGGCAACUUACUUGAUCCAGCAUUCCCAGCUCUUGUGAGCAUCCUUCAUGCAGAUCCUUAUGCAAAUGGUUUACAUGCUGAUCCACCUAACAUGCAAGGUAAAAGAGCACUUAAUUAGCAUAAUGAGGAAGGAAAUAGAAACAUGAUAUUCAUGGUAUUUAAAACAACACAACACUUGGCAAUACUAAAUUUUCUGUUCAAUCCAUAAAGCACUUAUUUUGAGUCUCCCCAGAGUGACCACCAAGGACAAAUACGGCCUCCAGUGGGUGUCUCUAAAGCAGAUCCAGAUGCAGGGUUGGACAUGGAAGAGAGAGAUGGGAUAAAGACUAACAGGCAAGUUUAGUGAAUUGUAUAAACACAAGGUAGCUGAUACCAUGGGAAGCAGAUCUCUGAUGGAGAGCGCAGAAAAUGCAGUCCUAAUGAUCCUAGGGCGAAAGCAAAUAAAGACAAACCACCUGACUUCAGUGGCCCAGUCUCUUCAGGGAAGCAGCCACUUGUUACCACAAAUGCGGAUGGAGAGAGGAAGAAAAUGGUGACUUUCCUCCAACCUUUACUGAAAAUCUAGACAGGCUGGAGACAAAGGUU